rnacentral:rRNA from 1 species
UACGGAGGGUGCAAGCGUUGUUCGGAAUUAUUGGGCGUAAAGCGCGUGUAGGCGGUUUUUUAAGUCUGAUGUGAAAGCCCCGGGCUCAACCUGGGGAGUGCAUUGGAUACUGGCUAGCUAGAGUGUUGCAGGGGAGACUGGAAUUCCUGGUGUAGCGGUGAAAUGCGCAGAUAUCAGGAGGAACACCGGUGGCGAAGGCGGGUCUCUGGGCAACUACUGACGCUGAGGAGCGAAAGCGUGGGGAGCGAACAGGAUUAGAUACCCGGGUAGU